rnacentral:rRNA from 1 species
AAACCCAACUACACCCCUAACUUCUAUAACCCCCACCCCACGGGACCCUGUAUAGUUGGUUUUAGGUUGGGGCAACCACGGAGCACAACAAAGCCUCCACAAUGAAUGGGACCACCCCCCUUAUCUAAGAGCCACACCCCUAGGAAUUAAAACAUUAAUAUAAAAUGAUCCAUUAUUUGAUCAAUGAACCAAGUUACCCUGGGGAUAACAGCGCAAUCCAUUUCAAGAGCCCCUAUCGACAAA